UACGGAGGGUGCAAGCGUUAUCCGGAUUCACUGGGUUUAAAGGGUGCGUAGGCGGGUAAGUAAGUCCGUGGUGAAAUCUCUGAGCUUAACUCAGAAACUGCCGUGGAUACUAUUUGCCUUGAAUAUUGUGGAGGUGAGCGGAAUAUGUCAUGUAGCGGUGAAAUGCUUAGAUAUGACAUAGAACACCAAUUGCGUAGGCAGCUUACUACACGAUCAUUGACGCUGAGGCACGAAAGCGUGGGGGAGCAAACAGG
rnacentral:rRNA from 1 species